rnacentral:rRNA from 1 species
UAAGGAAUAUUGGUCAAUGGACGCAAGUCUGAACCAGCCAUACCGCGUGAAGGAUGAAGGUCCUCUGGAUUGUAAACUUCUUUUAUCUGGGACGAAAACGGGAUUUUUAUCUCAAUUGACGGUACCAGAGGAAUAAGCACCGGCUAACUCCGUGCCAGCAGCCGCGGUAAUACGGAGGGUGCGAGCGUUAUCCGGAUUUACUGGGUUUAAAGGGUGCGUAGGUGGGCUUAUAAGUCAGUGGUGAAAUCUCCGAGCUUAACUUGGAAACUGCCGUUGAUACUAUAGGUCUUGAAUUAUCUGGAUGUUAGCGGAAUAUGACAUGUAGCGGUGAAAUGCUUAGAUAUGACAUAGAACACCAAUUGCGAAGGCAGCUUACUACAUAUAAAUUGACGCUGAGGCACGAAAGCGUGGGGAUCAAACA